AUGGUGUUAGCCAAGAACAACAACCUUAGUUCUUGGGCUCCCAUAUUCGCCGUUGCUCUUCUAGUCAUGGCUACCGUUUCUUUCUACCAGGGAGUGUCAGAUGAACUGAUGCGUGAUACCACUGGAGAGACAUGUGUGGCUGACUAUGAAUGUGAUCAGGCAUCGUGUGGAGUUAAGUGCCAGAUCAUGAAGAUGGACCCAGGUGCAGCCCGAUGUGAGAUAAAGGCCGGACCAAUUCCCUACUGUUGUUGCCGCCCAUUACUACAUGGGGCGCAUCAGAUAUGA
rnacentral:rRNA from 1 species